AACGAACGCUGGCGGCAUGCCUAACACAUGCAAGUCGAACGAGACCUUCGGGUCUAUUGGCGCACGGGUUCGUAACGCGUGGGAACCUUCCCUUAGGUUCGGAAUAACUCCCCGAAAGGGGUGCUAAUACCGGAUAAUAUCUUCUGACCAAAGAUUUAUCGCCUUUGGAUGGGCCCGCGUUGGAUUAGCUAGUUGGUAGGGUAAAAGCCUACCAAGGCGACGAUCCAUAGCUGGUCUGAGAGGAUGAUCAGCCACACUGGGACUGAGACACGGCCCAGACUCCUACGGGAGGCAGCAGUGGGGAAUAGUGGACCAUGGGCGAAAGCAUGAUCCAGCAAUGACGCGUGAGUGAUGAAGGCCUUAGGGUUGUAAAGCUCUUUUACCCGGGAUGAUAAUGACAGUACCGGGAGAAUAAGCUCCGGCUAACUACGUG
rnacentral:rRNA from 1 species